ACUUUUAAAGUGAUGGUCUGUUGUUUCUUAAAAUGAACAACAAAAGAUCUUUGGGGAACAGGCCUAGCUGAAGCUCUCUGAGGACUCUCAACAUAGGCAGAGCUGCCAGUGUCCCUGGUCAAACACAGAAGGAGAGGGGUCCCUGGAUCUGGAGGAGGCUCUGGGCAGGGGGGAUCGUAGCGAAGAUGCGCUUUCCUCUCUGAUGCCAUGACCCCCUUCUGUUUCCCCAAGGCCAGCCCUGGUCUGGGGGGCUCCAGCCUUCCCACAUCCACCUGCUCCUGGGUGCACUUCCGUGGGGCUCUCACCCUCACAGCCCGCCCCCAGGAUCCCAGAUCCCACUCAUACAACCCGAACAUUCUCUGCUUCUUUCUCGGGAGUCUGGAAUCAUGAUCAGUAAGUCUAGACUUUUUUUGAAAAUGCCAAUGCCAAAGCCAAUAUAUAUAUAUAUAUAUAUAUGUUUGUGUGUGUGUGUGUGUGUGUGUGUCUGUAUUCCACUAGUUCUGUCCCUCUAGAGAACUCUAACACAGCACAUAAGAAGACGGGUGUUCAUGAAUACCUGAGUGAAUGAAAUUAAAAGUGUUCUGGGAACUGAGAUGUUAAUACACUCCUGUGUUGGGAUUGUUCUCAGAGGACCCGGCUGUAGCA
rnacentral:lncRNA from 10 species